CUUCGUGAUUCUUCAAGCUCGCUUCAAUUCAUCAUCAUCAACUCCACAUCGAUACGCUUCGAGAUUCUGCACAGUCAUCAUCGUCACAAAUCUACAACAUUCAACAUCCUUGGUUCAAACUACGAUGAAUCCAUAAGCAACAAUCGCUUGCUAUCAAAAACGCACAAGAAAGGGGAACACAGAAACACAAGUGAAGUAAGAAGAAGAAAGAAUAUAAUUAACAGGAAAGAGAGAAGGAUUACUGGACUCAUGUCAAAAUCGCGUCGGAUUUUUGAAGUUGUUAGACUGUUGCUUGGAUCCACCAAUCCGCCUCCGCCCUUGAGGAUUAAGAGAGGU